GACGAACGCUGGCGGCGUGCUUAACACAUGCAAGUCGAACGGAAAGGACCUGCUUUUGUGGGGUUCUCGAGUGGCGAACGGGUGAGUAACACGUGAGUAACCUGCCCUUGACUUUGGGAUAACUUCAGGAAACUGGGGCUAAUACCAGAUAGGAGCUCCUGCUGCAUGGUGGGGGUUGGAAAGUUUCGGCGGUUGGGGAUGGACUCGCGGCUUAUCAGCUUGUUGGUUGGGUAGUGGCUUACCAAGGCUUUGACGGGUAGCCGGCCUGAGAGGGUGAACGGCCACAUUGGGACUGCGAUAGGGCCCAGACUCCUACGGGAGGCAGAAGUGGGGAGUAUUGCACAAUGGGCGGAAGCCUGAUGCAGCAACGCCGCGUGCGGGAUGACGGCCUUCGGGUUGUAAACCGCUUUCGCCUGUGACGAAGCGUGAGUGACGGUAAUGGGUAAAGAAGCACCGGCUAACUACGUG
rnacentral:rRNA from 1 species